GAUGAACGCUAGCGGCAGGCCUAAUACAUGCAAGUCGAACGAUACCAGAGAGCUUGCUCUCUGGGAAAGUGGCGCACGGGUGCGUAACGCGUAUGCAACCUACCUUAAUCAGGGGGAUAGCCUCUCGAAAGAGAGAUUAACACCGCAUAACAUCAUUUUACGGCAUCGUAGAAUGAUCAAAUAUUUAUAGGAUUAAGAUGGGCAUGCGUGACAUUAGCUAGUUGGUGAGGUGACGGCUCACCAAGGCUACGAUGUCUAGGGGAUCUGAGAGGAUGACCCCCCACACUGGUACUGAGACACGGACCAGACUCCUACGGGAGGCAGCAGUAAGGAAUAUUGGUCAAUGGAGGCAACUCUGAACCAGCCAUGCCGCGUGCAGGAAGACGGCCCUAUGGGUUGUAAACUGCUUUUAUACGGGAAUAAACCUCUUUACGUGUAGGGAGUUGAAUGUACUGUAAGAAUAAGGAUCGGCUAACUCCGUGCCAGCAGCCGCUGUAAUAC
rnacentral:rRNA from 1 species